UACGUAGGCUGCAAGCGUUGUUCGGAGUUACUGGGCGUAAAGGGUGCGUAGGCGGCUUUUUAAGUUUGGUGUGAAAUCUCCCGGCUCAACUGGGAGGGUGCGCCGAAUACUGAGAGGCUAGAGUGUGGGAGAGGAAAGUGGAAUUCCUGGUGUAGCGGUGAAAUGCGUAGAUAUCAGGAGGAACACCGGUGGUGAAAGCGGCUUUCUGGACCAUAACUGACGCUGAGGCACGAAAGCGUGGGUAGCAAACAGG
rnacentral:rRNA from 1 species